CAGUGAACAAAUCUGGGCUUUGUCCUGUGAGCCCAUAGCCGGUCUCUAUAAGCCCCUGCGAUCCUUGGGUCUGGGACCCCAAGUCCCUUCUCAGAAGGGCUGAGUGGGCUUCUCCACGUCUUCUUCAUCCACUCUGCUCCAUGACCUUCACCCCAGGGCUGGACCUACUUCCGGGACACCAGGCUGCCAGGGAGUUCCUGCCAGGGAGGCCGGAGGCUGACCUGCGUGUGGCCUGCAGCGAGGGGCCUGUCUGUCCACCGUGCCAGCUCUUUCAGGCCAGGCCGGCUCUUCCGUCUCUCACGCUGUGUCCUUGAAAACACGUGGCUUUUCCACUGUGUGGAUGGAAUUUUUCACUGUGCAGAACUCCUCCUCCUCCUCCACAGACUGUUUCACCACCUGACUAGAAGAAUUGGACCCAGAGAGAAGAAAAUAACUCUCCAGCUCAGGUGACUGUCGCCAGCCGCUGUUUCUGGCUCAGCUGUUUCUCCAGGACACGCAGGCGUCUGCAGAGCAAAGCCCGGAGAAGACUCUGGCCGUAACGCGGUUUCCUGCCCCUGGACAGGCACAGUCCAGCUCAUCCUCCGAGGCCAGCAGAACUUCCAAAAGGGUGCAGAUGGAUUCAUCUUCCCACUAAUGGGAUAAAGAACAUCAGAAUGGUAAGCAAUCCACAGGAGAAACCAACAGACAAAGAUUCUUCUACUGUUCAUUCCAGUCUUGCAAAUCUACUUGAGAGGCUUCAGAGAGAGGAAAGCUCGACAGUGGUAUCAUUCUUCCAGGACAGGUGAGGCAGCAAUGAGAGUGGACACUGUGACAUCAUCUGAGACUGUCAGAUCAUCUGUGUGUUAUCAUGGAGGGGCCAGAGUGACAGAAAACAAUGAGAAAAAGUGUCCCAAAAGUGCAGUUUCGGGACAUGCGAGCAAAGGGGCUGAGGCCCAGUGCAUUAGUGCUUUCUCACGGCAGGGCCCCUGACCUGGGCUCUCUCCAGGGCUGGGCUAAUCUGAGGGCUCUGCUCAGCCCCGAGGGCUCCAGAAGAAACUGGGUUGAACUCUGGCACUUGGAGGCGGAUGCUGGCAUGGGGGCUGAGAAAUGUGUGGAUGGAGCUCAGACGGAGGAACUGGGGCUCAGGACAUACGUGGUGAGGCUCACAUUGCAGGAAAAGGCUUUUCUGGUUUUCCAAGAAGCAACACAAUCUUUUAGCCACCUUACAAGGGAACUCUGUUAAAUGUAGAAAGUCCCGCUACUGGGGACAUGGAGUACAGAGAGGAGAGGGAGGACUGGGUCCCGGCCUCUCUUCCUUUCUCAUGGCACAGCACCACACGUAGACAAAGGGGCAGAAGAAGAGCUGCACCGUGAAAGGUAAGGCACUGUCCUCCGAUCGCAGCCGGGACCUGAGCGCCCUGCUCCUGAGCAACCACAUCCACAGCUCUGAGGAUUUCUGGGGAGGCCUAGGAGCGAGGCUUCAGGGAAAGAACUCUGACCUGGGGACCCUUCUCAGGCUGUGCUUGGAGUGAAGCUGUGACUGGCCCGGGAAGGAUGAUGUCCAGGAGGGGCAGUGUGGGUCACAGCGGAGCAGUACAGCUGACAUUUGCAGGUGAACUUAGGGGUCUAACUGGGAGUGCAGUUUACUUCUCUACCGCUGAGUCCUCAUUAGAUGAAGUGUCCUUUCCUCCCCAUGAGGUGGCUGUGAGGACAGUGGGGGUUGGUGGAUGUGGAAGCAUCAUGUAAGGGAUGCAAGUGUCCACUCCUUGUUCCUGGCUAUCACUGUGAGGAGCCUUGGACACCGACAGCUGGCCUCCAGGUCGAAUCUGAUGUAGUGUCUCCGAUGUGACAUUCUGCUCAACCUCCUCACUUUCCACCAGACACUGUGCUCUGGGGAGGCCCCACCCACUGGCUGGCAGAGGCAGGCAGAGGGGACCACGCUUUCAUCCACUGGAUGUGCAGAAGCUGCUGGAGAUGCUGGUCAACAAGAAAGGCAAACAGAAAAUGUGCCAGGGAAAAUGCAAGGGUGGCUCAUUUUUCCUACAGUGAACACAGGGCACCCCCGGGUUUCCCUGAGGAGCCUGUUGAGGUCACUGGGUGACAAACUCACCUGUGCGCAGCCUCCUGCCACACAAAGGGCAAAGCAGAGUAGCUUCUUGAGUCUCGGCAGGUCCCUUUCCACAAGGUCUCUGGAGCCAUUUCCAGCUCUUCUGGGGCCUGCCCCCUCUGCACAGUGAGUCCCUGGUGGCCACUGCCCGGGUCACUAGAAGAUCUUCAUCUUCAUGAUCUCAGUCUAUUAAAUUUAAUGACACUAUGUCAAGUCAUGAAGGACUCAUGCUGGGCUCACGCUCACCACGACAGCCCCAAGGACCAGAGCCAUCCUGCUAAGAGCAGGCGGGUCAGAGACAGGGAUAGUGAUCAGGCUUUGCUGUCCCAAGAGCCUGUGCCCCACUCUGGUCAAGGCCUUCAUGAGUCAAUGGAUACCCGUGCCUCGUUUUACAUCGACCACCGCUACACAAGCGCUCUGCAAAGAGCUGUCCCUUGGCAAACACCACAGACGUUUCAUACUUUUCUUCUGAGAAAAAAUUUCUUGCAGAAGAAAUGCAUUAAAAGAAAAAUUGCUUUAUGAGUACACCCUCUUCAUGUUAAUGGCUUCCUCUGUGUAAGACGCCAUUGCUUCCUGAUGUUCUUUCUCCUAGUUAGUAACUUCUGUGUCCUCCUGGCACUCCAGAGAAAACCAUGUUGACAGACCCAACACUAAUGGACUCAGAGAUGGACACAGAAAUUCUUGUAAAUUCUCUGUAUGAGCUAGUUGACUGUCAGAGAAGCCUCAGACUCCCAAAGAGACCCAAACAGGAACUCUGCUGGAAAUAAACAUGAAUUCCCACACACAGACCUCCAGAGACCUAGAGACUUGGAGAAUUAGAGACCCACACAUAGAGACCCAGCCUCUAUAAAACCCACAGUGAUGGACCUCAACCAAGACACAGCUGAGACUCUCCUGGAGACCCGCAUUCAGCAACUCCCCCAAAGACACACUUUGAGACCCCUUUCAGAGGUGCAUGGUGAGACUCCCUCAGACCCUACCCGAGAUUCCCACAGAGAGCCCCAAAGAUCUUUCCAGAUAAGCCCACAAUGGCACCCUCGCAGAGCCCCCUUGAGAUUGCUAGACUACAAAUUCCCUUACAAGGACUUCCCCUAGAAAUCACACAACUUCACCAAGCUCACACAAACUCUGUAAACACCUGUGAUGGAGACUUGUACUAAGGAGACUUGUACCCAGAGUCCCCUCAGGGAAUUAAGAUGGAAAUCUCCCCCAGGGGCCUUGGACUGCCACCUAGUCCUCAUACACAGCUCCCUCUCAGAGGUGUCACCCCAGAGCUUACAGAUCUCCUGGAGACAGCUGGAAGGAUGACCAUGCACACAGGGCUCCCCUGAAGUACACACCCCCUCAACACCACACAGGCCAUUCCUCAGAGACCUCACACAGAGACCCCCACACAGAGCAUGCACAGAGACCAGAGAGCUACAGAGACACCGUGGAGUGACCUUCCAAGAGCACACCCAGGCUCAACGCAUGCUUACAACAGAGACCUUAUACCAUUACCUUACCCUUUCCCCAGGAUGACCACACAGGACUCACGCAGGGAUAAGAUCCUUGCACACACAAGAUACUGACGCAGUCAGCACUCAGAGAGGGUUCUCCCAGGACCUCCCACUGUUCUAGAAUUUCACAUUCUUUCAGAGCUCUUCUCCUGAGACAGCCUAGCCUUAGAGGUGCAGAUAGAACACACGCACUGCAGCACAGCGCCGUGCAGUGCCUCAGAGGCUGCACCUUGGCACACGGUGGCUGCCUGCACAUUUUGAGACACCUUUGCAGAAAUUCACACCAACACCUCACAAGUUUCCAUGAGUACCUGGCACGGCAAGCUUCACGCACAGCAUCCCAGUUCAUUCUGCCUUCCUGGCAGGGCUGAACCUACUGAGCCAACAGGCAUCCCGGGGAGGGCAACAUUGGCGAGGCCUGCCCCCAGCAUUGUACCCCUCACAUGGUCAACAGGGCCCCAAGUGGAGAAUGAGUUCCCCUCCUUUUGUAAUGCGAUCGCCUCAGAAUAGAAUAAUCACAGAUUCCACACAGAGACCCGGGAGUUUCUUUCCUCUGCAGGGGUUCCUUAGCUUUGGCUGUGACCCGCAGUUCAGAGAAUUCCAAUAAAAGUUCCAGACUCUGGGCAGGCUACGUUCUCCCUGGUACAGGGAGCACCCAAGGGGAAGUGGAGGUAAAAGAGCAUUAGGAGACUUUGGAGGACACUGCAGCACUGCCUGAUGGGACAGGGGUGUAAUAGGCACCUGGAGAGGGGCCUGGACCCAGCCCUGCAGACCCUGAAGGCCAGGCUGAUGGAGACUUGUGACUGGGACAUGUUUCUCUCCACUUCCCAGGGAUGACAGAGACCUCCUGACACUCAUCACUCAGCCCACCUUUCUAGAAGAUGCCUGUUCCUGCUUAUGUGCCAGGUUCUAGGCCAGGCAGGGGGACAUAAGGACAGCACCUCUUCCUGCCCUGCACAGAGCCAAAUGAUUAAGCCUGUGGCCAGGCGACCUGGCAGGGUGACAGGGAGGAGCUGGCCCGAUAGGUGCAAAGAGCCAAGGCUUCCCAGAGGAGCAGGCAUCUGUGCUAAACUGAGAGGGACACACAGGAGCCUGUCAGAGGAACAAGAUGGAGCAGGUUCCAGAAACACACGCGGUACCAGGCAAAGAACAAGGUUGCGGCUGGUGGGAGGAGCGCCAGGAAGUUCCCAGGGCCGGAGACCCUUGCCGCAGCUCCCUCGAAGAAGCCCGCUGUAGAAAUGAAAAUGACUGAAGACCUUUCCUCAGUGGGUUUAUACAGCAAAAGCACAGUGCUUUUGGUCACAGUGUAUGUAUGCAUCCGUGUUUCAGAGAUCACAGAGGCUGUGCAGGGUGUUCCUGCAGAGGGGGGAACCACUGUGCACCCCAAACUGAAAAGAAAUCAUAUGAGAGGGGCAACCUCAAGUCUGAGGUGCAGCACAGAUGGAUCAGAAACCUGACAGGCAGGGGCAGUGGGGAGGGGAGGAAGCGGGGCUCCGCAGGGUGUUUGUCCAGACCCGCAGACCCCAGCUCCUCUGAACACUGAGGUCAGUGUGGGUCUGCACACAGCCAGAGCUCUGCACCCCAGGGCGUGGCCCCAGCUCCCUGACUUGUGCUCCAUGGGCUUGGAGGACACACAGCAAAAUGCCUGCCUGGGCCUGUGGCUGUGUGAGUAGGAGACAGCGUCUUGCUUUGCGCUGUCUUAGGUUUGGGCGCCGGGGCAUCGGGUGAGAAGAGAUAGCUCCCUCUGGUCGGGUUUGUGUGGAAGAGGUAGAUGCUACCUCAGCUGAUGCUAGCUCAUCUUUAGAUCUUCGGUAGGCUGGACAUUGAUGUUGGCCACUCAGUGGCCAUGUCAGCACCUGUUCAAAGCCAUUGCAGGGCACAGGAAAAGACAGAAACACAUGUAGGAAAACCAGUUCUUUUCUUAAUGACGGAAGAGGUAAUGGUUAACUCCUGUAAUUACAACAGUGAGACUUAUUUCUGUGUGUUACAUAAGCAGAGAUGUAUGUGAUUCGAUUAGACUGACAUAUUUUUGGGGCACUUUUAUGUAUCAUAAUACUUACUAUUCCUGGGAUUUGACACAGAAAAUAUCAGGCGUUAAGGAAGACAAGGAAGUGAAUGCCCACUACUGGGGUGAUUAGAAUUUUACUUUUUCUCAUGUGGUGGUCAGUUACUAACAGCUCUAGAAUUUUAGCACGGAUGGAUUGAAAAGUGCUCACUUCCACAGAAUUCCAGGUGUAAUUUCCCAUCUUACCCAGUCAAACUGGUCCAGGUCCCAGACUCAGCCUGUGCUGUGUAUGUCGCCCUCUGGUGGCCUGUUCCUUAUGCAGUAAUCCAAGUGGAUGGCUUCACUGUAUUUAUUAAAAAUAAGAUCUUUUUAAAAACUGGCAGAGCUGUUGAAGGAAUUAGAAAUAUACAACCAGAGACACAGGAUCUGCGUCUAUGUUGAGUGCACAUCAUGCGUGUGUGUUUUGCGAUGUGCAAAUCUUUACAUCCCUCUAGGAUUUAAACUCUGGCAGGGUUAGAAAGGAGCGGUAAGUAGGCAGCACAGAAAAGUGUGCCGGUCCUCUGCGCUGUGUCGCUGACCGCUUCCUUCGAUGCGCUGUCCUGGCAGCUUGUGAAAUGGCACCUGGCAUAGACGGGCAGGUUUGCAUCUGCCGCCCGGUUCCGGCGCACUGAACCACACACCUGCCCUCGCCAGCCCUGUCCUCAGGGCUCACCACACUGCCCUGUGGGAGCUGAGACCUCGGAUCAGCACCCGUGACCCUGGCUCCUGCUCCUGCUGAGAGUCCUGAGCGAGCUUAGAGCUGGGGCCCUUGAGGCCCUGUGCCUGCUGGUGUCACCCUCGGAGGGGACUCAAAAGGCCCAACCUUGUGCUCUACAGCCCCACACAACCCCCAGUUCCUCGCCUGACAGGACCGUCAGCAUAUCUUUCAGUGUAAGAACGCUAGCAAUAGCCUUCCUCAGUUUCUGCUUGUUAUAAGUUAUUUCUCAGACAUUUCAAAGGAAUUUUGGUGGCUAUAAAAUCCUAGCACUUCAAAAGGUCAUUCUAUCCACUCCUGGAUUUGUUGCUGUGAAAAAAUCAGCCAUGAGUCAUACUUUUGGUCUUUUUAUCCUUUUUUUCGUGGGCGCUCUUGAUAUUUCCCUUAAGACUGGUUUUAAGCCAUUUUGCUGGGCAGGGCAGAGGGGUGGGUGUUGCAGAAUCAGUUUAACACAUUUCAUCAAGGUAGUAUAAAUAUUGGUCACUCAUUUUAACACUUUCUGCCAUUUCUAUUUCACUUUUUCAGAGUAUUUCUCUUGCGUGUUCAGUUUUGAGCAUGCAUCACAUUUCCUUAUGGAAUUACAUUUUUUCUUCUCUUUGCUUCAGUGUGGCUCUUUGCUACUGAGCUCUCCUAACUCAGCACCUCCCAGCUCUGCUGUAUCAGAUCAGCUCCAUCACACCCAUUACCUGGCUCCUUCAUUCCCUCAGUUCUGCCGUGUACACUUGGUUUUUAACACAGACUCAAAUUCUCUGAUGAUGAACUCCUGCCUCCUCCUUCCUUCCCUGGCCUUGUUUUUUCCUCUGUGUUCUUCAACACAGCAGUCCCAGUUACGUUAGAGACCUGGGUGAUCCCAACAUCCACACUGUGCGGAAGUCUGAUGUAUUUUUCCUCUCUUCCUACCCGUCAUGUUUUAUCACCCCACACACAUCUGGUUAGGAGUGUUAGGCCUUAUGUAUAAAAAACCUUCAAGAACUCCAUGGAAUAGCACUUUCCAUAGAGAUAGUUUCCUCUUUCCUCGCCUGUAAAUGGAAUAAAAAGAUCACAAUUUCAGUACAGCUACAAAUUGAAGAGGCUGGGACGAUAUUGAGAUUUGAAUUUGAUCCUGAGCACCUUUGUUCUUGCUCCUCUUUAGAUGUAGGUUUCCUGUCUUCUGGAUGGAACAAUGCCUUCAGCCCUGAAUCCUGCCCAAGAUCAGGCCCCCGAACCUCCUGUGUUCAGAGGCAGGCUUUUGGAAGGCAAUUGAAUGUUGGGUGCUGUAUUCAUCAGUAGACACAUCUGCUAGUGGGUCCGGUAGCUGAGUGUGCUCAGGAGAAGCCAGUCACCAGAGGUGUGGCCUGAAAGGACACAUCUCCUUUGGCUCCUCCCUUUGCUCUCUCCUUUCUCCUUGCUGUGGGGUGAGCAGCUGUUCUUCAUCUGCGCCUCCCCACCAUCCUGUUUUUGCCUUGGAGCCCACGGACCACGGACUGAAAACAUCAGCCAGACUGGAACCUCUCCUCCUUAAGGCUGUAGGUGUGGGGAAUUGUGUCCAAGGGCAGCAAAGACACUUCAACACACACACACACACACACACACACACACACACACACACACACUUCUCGCAUGUGCUAAGCCUGUUAUGUUUGAAGCAGGUCUUCUCCCCAGCUGGCCUUGUAUCCUAGCACUGUAAGAUCUUACGAGCAUUUUCCUGACUUGCAGAGGCCCAGAGUCAAGCUUGUGCACUCUCGCAUGGGUCUAGAACUCAGCACGCCACACACGGCAUGAUGUCUUCUAAAGUAAAGCCAUCUGUGUUUUAGAGGCCUCUGAAGUUGUGACAUGCUGUCACUCUAUCCCAGCAGGACCAUUAGAAGCUCCUACGUGGACCCUGAUGAGAUCUCUGCAUGCAGCAGAGAUGCAGAGGCCUCCUGCUGCGUGUGGUUGCCAGCGAGGGAAGGAGGAUGGAAGAGUGCGGUCAGCCUGUCCUGCCUGCUAUGUGGCGUGCCAGUCACUAAAGUGGCCAGUUCUGUAGCAGAGAAACUUCCGUUUCAGAAACACAAAUCAAACCACUUCUUUCCAGUUCUCCUUGUUCAGGAAGAUUUAUUCUAGAAGAUUUAUUCAGAAGAUUUAUUGGGGAAAGGGCUUGGCCAAGGUCUAGUGCCCGUUUUCUUCUUCUUUUUUUUUAUUUAAAAGGAAAAAGAGAAAAAACAAAACAAAGCAAAACAGUAUAAGGGUACAAGUAAUACAGAACUACAAAGAAAAAACAGUAAGAAAUCCCCAUUUAAUAGAUUACACAUUAUCAUCUUAGAGAUAGUUGUUCAAGUCACAGGAUUAAAGCAUACAAAGUGGACAUUCAAACAGUGAGACUGCAAACAGUUGUGUUCAAUGAUCCAAUCAAAUACAUUAACAUGGUCAUCUAUUUAACACACCUAAACACACUUGCAAUUGUAUCCUUUAGAGCACUUUCUUUCCUUCACUUUUUUUUUAUUUAAAGAGAAGAAAAAAAAAAGAAAGGACAUAAAAAAAUGCAGUAAAAGGGUACAAAUAAUACAGUAUUUCUAGAAAAAAAUAUAUACAGUAUGAAAUCACCAGUUAACAGGCUACACAUUAUCUUCCCAGAAACAGUUGUCCAUAUCAUAGAAUUCAAGCAUAUAAAGUGAACAUUCAUACAGUGGAAUUGGAGACAGUUCCGUUCAAUGAUCCAACCAAAGCUCAGUUAUAUGGUUUUCCAUCCUACACUCUCGAACAUACCUGGGGUUAUAUCCCUUAAUCCACCUUUCUUUCCUCUCUUUUUUACAGUAACAAUUAGACUUUUAGGGUUUUAUUACUCUCAUGGUUCUUAUUACUUUUUUGAAGAGAAUAAAAAAUGUGACUAAGCAAAACAGAGUCACUUAGAACAGAAGGGUGGGCAUAGCACGUGAUACAAAAAUAGAAUAGCAGAUGAUCAAAAGUGGUUACCAUUGUGCCUCUUGCUAUUUUCAAACUGAGUUGUCUAUAUCAUCAGGUAUAAUAGAAUUGAUCAAAACAAUAUGGAACAAAACCAAUAGAAUCUACACUGAGGAUCUUACAGGACUUCAAAAAAAAAAGGAUGAUAGUCAAUCUAUAUUGGGCAUCAUAGUAUAUCUUAUUGCCUUCAAAGUGAUUGCCUAUACCCUCAAACUUGAUACUAUCAAACAAAAUUGAAUAUAUAAUAAUCAGACAGAACAAGAUGGGGAGAGCAAUACUGGGGUUCAAGUCAGGUUAAUAGGACAACAAAAAAUUUCUAGUGCCUGUUUUCUGGGAAGGGUCUGCCUGUCAUUCUGUCUUUCUCUUUGUCUCCAUGGAGACACAGUUCAAGAGUUCAGGACUAUUUAAAAGCACAGGAAAGGUACCUGGGUCGUUUUUCCAUCCAGCACCCACCAAGCUCUCUGCUUUCCCUCUGCCUGCUCCUCCCUUGAGUGUUGCUUCAUUGUUCAGUCCACGAUUGUGUGUGUGUGUGUGUGUGUGUGUGUGUGUGUAUUUGUGAGCCACCACAAAGCCUUUUGUGAGCAAGAGAAAUUAAAUGCAUACACCUCAACCACUUCAUCUGCAAGCUUAUAUAGCUUUGUUGCUAAAAAAAGAAGGGUCUAACUGUGGGAAAAUGGAAGCACAGUCGAAGGACUGCUCAUAAAGAAAAACGGCUGGAAUGCCUCCAAUUAGCUGUGCUCAUUUACGUGCUGUGGAUUUUCACACAAACGACAGGUACAAUGUUUGUUUCUAUGUUUAAUCAACCUAGGGUCAGACCUGAGGCAAGCUCUGAAGAGCUACUUUGGCCUCUGAGCUGCACCAGCACAGGUUCCUGGUGCUAUAGCUUUGGUCUUGGGGCCUAAAGACCCCUGUGUUAGAGGCUUGGUCUCCAGGGAUGUGCUUUUGGGACCUGGGCAACCUUUAAGAGUUGGGACUCCUGGAGAGCUUCAGAUGUGCCCCCAAACCUGUCUAGGUGUGCCCUUAGAGGUGUUCCUUGGAGAAAUUUUUGGGGUCUGUUCACUGCUUCCACUUUUCACUUUGUGGCCAAGAGGUGAGUGAGUUUGCGCCACUGUGCUGUCCUGCCGCGAUGUGCUGCCAUCCCACAAGUCCCAAAGCAAGAAAGCCAUGAACUGGGGCCUCCGACACUGUGGGCCGAAGUAAGCCUUCCCUUAUAGGCUGAUUAUCUUAGGUAUCAGUCAUAGUGACAGAAAGGUGCCUAAACACCCGAUUUUUACAGAAUCUUCAGGAAAAUGGACUUUGCCACACACAGCAGAGCCUGUCUCACAGAAAACUACAUCUUUUGGUCUAUGUUUAGAGCUCUCUUGCUGACCUUCUGUUCUUUUUCUAUCCUUCAAUAACUCCUUCGAAACAAUUCUGUGGGACAGAAAGAAUGAGACCUGAGACUGAAUCCUUUUGCAAUGCACAACCUGUGAGGCCACUGCUCAGAAAAAAGCAUAAAUGACUAACAGUUUAACCGACUUCUUGAAAAUGUUGUCACCCUUGGUGGUAUUAUGUACAACGUUACAGGUUCCCGCCUUACAUGCUAGCAAACAUGUUGGGGGUCACUGGAGUUUUUUCCUGGAGAAUGAGCUUCCUUUCCAGGCCCCACCUCAUUUACAGGUCCAGACUCAGCUCUAGGCAGCUGCAUUAGACAAGGAGCUGUCUGGGCAACGGUGGGUGGGAAAUGCUAUGCUCUCUAUGUGUGGGAACAGUACCUUCUGGGCAUAGUGAGGUCACUAAACAGAGAGUAUGAGUGUACUCCUUCUUAUUUUCUGCUAGUUUUAAUUUGCUGUACUCUGUUUUUCUCAAACAGUUGCAUGUGUGCACGUGUGUGAGUGAACGUGUGGACCUGUGUGCACAGAGUUCUGUAUGCGUGUUGUGUGUGUGUGUAAAUGUGUGUUGGUGCAAGGAUGUAUAUCCAUGUGGGUAGACAUAUGUGGCCCAAACGUAAGAAUAGAAGAUAAAUUCACUGAAAAAAUCAACACAUUUAUAAGUAUAGUUGGAAAUUUCAAUGUUUCUUUCAACAACUGAUAGAAUAAGUAGGCAAAAAUUUUAUGGGAGAUUUGAACAGUACUACCCACCAGGGUGCCUUAUUCUUUAAAACAACAGAAUGCAGUCUUUCCAAGGGCAUAUGGGUAUUUGUUAAGAUUGAUCACAUUUUGUACUAUAAAACAAAUGUCCCUACAUUAAAUUCAUGAUGUACAUUUUCUAAUUGUGAUGAGAUUAAAUUACAAAUCAAAAAUGAAAGAUCCCUGGAAAAUCCCUACUUGGAAACAAACACUUUUACAUAGCUUAUGGAUUUUUUAAAAAGGGAAGUUAAGGGGCUGGGGAUUUAGCUCAGCGGCAUAAGUGCCUGCCUUGCAAGCGCAUGGUUGUGAGUUCCAUUCCCAAAACUGAUUUUUAAAAAAGGGAAAUUAGGAAUUAUUUUGAACUGAAAAAAUAUCAAAAUUUAUGGCAGACCACUAAAACAGUGCUUAGGCGUUCAUGCCACUAAAUACACAUAUAGAAAAAAAGAAAGAUCUUGAAUCAAGGACCUCAGGAUCUGCAUAAAGAACCCUGAAGCAGAACUAGUGAGACCCAAAACUAGCAAAGGGAAGAAACUGAGGACCAGAGCAAAGAUCGAAGAAUUCUUUCUGAAUUUUUGCCUGAAUAAAGAGCUGGACAGGAGAUGAAGUACCAAGGUUUUACAUUUAGUAAAGUUAUUAAAAGCAGGAUUGAAGGCAGAAAAAGGAAGAUGCCCUGCAGAGUGAGUGCCAGCCAGUUUCGGUAGGGCAGUGCAGGGCAGCUGGGCAAAGGCUCACCAGCUGUGAGGCUGAUAAUCCCAUCCUGAUGUCAACGCUAGGCCCACUCUCAAAGCCCUGCUUGUCCCGGUGCCGGAAGAGCUGAAGACAGCAUUCUCUGAUUGGCCCAAGUGCAGGGCUCCAGAGCUGCCCUGUGCUUGUCCUGGGGCUCCGUAAUUGGCAGGUCACGCCCACUCACCCAGCCAUGUUGCUGUGGCCCAAUCACCCACCUAAAAGGCAGAAUGUGCUGGGGAUUUAGCUCAGCAGCAUAAGCACCUGCCUUGCAAGUCUGUGGUCGUGAGCUUGAUCCCUGGUACCGGUAAAAAUACAAUAAAUAAAUAAAUAAAUAAUAAAAGGAAAAAAAUAAAAGGCAGAAUGUCAGGACUUGGACCGACUGCUUUCCGAAUCCUUGGGUGAAUUCUUGACCUGGAGCUCUCUGCUAGCCAAAGUGGUAAUGAAAGAGUUGCUCUCGCAGUGCAUGACAUGGGAACAGCAGGAGCUCUAGCUCACACUCACAGAGUAGGACUGGGAAGAGUGAGGCACAAACUUACUCCCCGGGAGCACGGAAGGGUCAUCGUGGGAGUAACAUUUCACAGUCACACUCCAAAGUGGAGUGUAACCACAGGGUACUGGCUGACGUUCCCAGGAAUAUGGUGGGGUAAGGAUAGGAGUAUGGAAUGACCAGAGAGGAGCUUUGCCCCAUAUUCACCCCAGUGUAGGGUGGGGGUGGGGGGGUAGCCCCACCUCAGGCUCCUAGGAGUGAGGGAUGGUGGGAGGAACCCCACCUCAUGCUCCUAGGAGUGUGCGAUGGUGUGUGUGUGUGUGGGGGGGACCACCUUGACUCAUGAAUUUGGUGGAGCCUUGGGCCUGGCAGUGGGCGCACGAUGGAGGAAUGGCCAGUGCAUAGGCUGUCCUGUGGGCACAGCCCUCCCUGGUGCUUGGAGAAGGGACUGCCAAAUGCUUAUUUCCAGUCUCCUUUCUCCUCAGGGUCACCCCGAAGUCUCUGGGCUGCAGUGUUCUCAGCACCUAGCUCCAGGCCCCCAGUAAGAAUGGUGCGCUUGUUUCCAGACCCCCCAGCACCUGUGGGAUCCCUCACACCCUGCCUGUUUCAGGGGCUUUCAGCUUCUCUGAUGGCUGGGUUUGCAGAUAUCUCACUUACUGUGUGCCUCUUCCCAGUGGGGAGAGUAGAAAGGUUUCGGUCUUUUCUGCAGGUCUGGCUACCCCUGGAAUGCUGCUGCCUGCCUUGGGGGACCUAGUCCUUUCCCAAGAUGCUGUGCACCCCAGACCUGGGAGAUAAGGGUUGCCCAGGCCAGGGGCAGAUGGCUUCCCUUCCCAGCACUCUGAUCCUGAGUUUCAAUAUGGGAUCUCUGCAUUCAUCUUGCUGUGCCUGGCUUUCUCCAUCGCCUCUGACUCAGUGUACUUACUUGUGCGCUGAACUUAUCCAAGAUUCCUUCUCUCCCUGCUGCUCCCCACUUGGCCAUGACAGUUCUCUUCCAAAAUUGAAUGAGAAUACACUCAGGAGGUGUUACUAUUUUUGUUACUAGUGCUUUAGUGCUGUGCCCCCUGCUGUGGAGAUAGCAUCACAGAAGGAUCUUCUACACAUAUGGAAGGCUUUGUCCUUGUCUGAAGUCAGGUGAGCAACUGCAAAGCAUCCAGCAACUCAGGGAAGGGGGAGCAGUGUGGAUGCCGCCUGUGAUGCUCUUCUCCGCCUACACCCUGGGAGGUAACCCACGGUUAUCUGUGCAGCCACAGCUGGGUGCUGCUUGGACUCAACUGAUGGAGCCAGAGGUCCAGGUGUGGCCCAUCAUGGAGAGGCAGCCCAGACCCAUCUGGCCUGGCCACUCAUCAUGAAAUGAUGAGGGCAUGGCGCCCCAGGCUGGUGGCUGUCCCUGGUUCCCAAGGUGUGGGAGCCCAUUGUGGGGGCAUUGAGUUAAGAAAAUGUGGAGACAGGAGGCAUUGUGUGAGGGCAUACAGGGUGGAGACUGCUCUGAGUGCUUCUAAGUUUUUAAAGGAAACCUGGAAGCUGAAACUUUAAAUCAGUCCCUGUCUUUUCUGUUGUUACCACAGACCUGCUGUGUCCAGGAGCCCCAGGCCCCACUCAGUGGUAGAUUUGCCACCCUCUGAGGGGCUUAGCAGCUAAUGCGUACUUGUCCUUGGGCUGGCUUGGGUAAGGUGGGAGCUGGGCCACAGGUGCUGGCUGCAGAGGACUAGGCAGGAUGUCUGGGCCUCCCCGCUUCUCCUUCAGUCCCUCUGUCUUAGUGGGUCUGUGGGCCUGGCUGGACUGCCUGUGCUUCCACAAGCGUUUCCGGAAUUUUGAGUUAAUGUUAUGAGUUGAAACUUUAUCUACGUAUAUUCAGACCCAAAUCAUGGGAGACUCCUCAAGUAUCUCACCCUUGAGAUAAGGGCAGAUUCCCAAGAGAGUCAUGCAGUUUCUGCUGGGGAAUUCCUCGCCUCAGUUUAGAUCUUCCAAUUUAGAUCUUGCUGGAUUUAAGAAGCCAGCAAGAAGGAGGGAGCUAACUGAGACCCCAGCACCCACACAUCCUGCAAAAUGCCACCCAACACCCAAUCAGUGGAGCCAGAGGGUAAGGGUGACCCUGUCCCUUUUAGGGGUGGAGGGUGGGGCCUGCAUUGAGCGACCAGCUGGCCUCAGCCCCAGAGUGCCGCUUCAGCAUGACCUGAGGAGCUGCCACAGAAGCAGCUGCCGGGGUCAGACACUUUUGUUUAGGUCAGUUCAGUUUCCACCGGGGCAUACAUCCUGCUGUGUGGCGGUGACAGCUGUGUCCCUGGAGGGCCCACCCCCCUACACACAAGCAAACCUGCACCUCAGACUCACACUGGCCCUGGUUUCCAACGGUGCCCAGGCCUGCUGAGCCCAUCUGCUCACUCAGGACUUGUGGUCCCCACCCCAGCCACUGCCCUCACUGGCCUCCCACUGUGUGUGUGGCCUCCCCUGGGGAUGUGCGGGCAGCAAGGAAGGAGGCAGCAAUGGGACCCUGGGUGGGACAUGCUCAUCCGCCUGCCCCCCUGCACCACCCAGCCUCUUGGUGCUCAUGGGCCCCCCAUGUGUUCCAUUUUCCCUGUUGUUCUCUGCUGCCUGUCACAGUUAUGAAGUCCCUUUCCUGGGGGACAUCCAGGGGCAUCUUCUUUCUUUGUCUCUGCAACACCCCCUGAAUCCCCCAAGUGGCCCCCUCUGUCUGUUCCUUCUGGCAAUCAGUGAGGGCAGAGCCCGUGGGAGCCAUGGUGUGGCCAGCACAAGCUCCUUGGUUCUUUAACCCCAAAUCAUCCUCCAGGCCCUCACUUGGAAUUAGUGACUGUCCUCUUUCCAUUCACCCAAGACCCCUCCAUCAAGCUCUGUCCUCAGCUUUCUUGCCCAGGGCAGAAAAGAUCUGGGCCUCAAACACUGAGGGCUCCAGGGCAGUGAAGGGGGAGGAGGGGAGGCUGUCGGAGCAGUGGGCGUGUUUCUUUGUUCAAUCAUGCUUAUGCCAGACUGUGUGUCAGGACCAGCUAGACUCUCUAGAGAGUGUUCUGUAACAGAUUGCUAAGUCCAAGCUCUGGGCUUCCUGGUACAGUGGGUCAGAGAAGCCAGACCUGACAUUUUUUGUCUGUUCUUGGGGUGGGAGGCACACUUUGAGAUCUCUGUCCUGUAUGAGACACAGACUCCUGCAGUGUUAGCGCACUUGGGAGCUGAUGUCCCAAUAUGUGUUUCACAGAACCUUCUCUUUAAGGUCUAUGACAAAGCAUUUUGGGGCAAAUAGAUUUUUCUGUGCUGUGUGUGUGUGUGUGUGUGUGUGUGUGUGCAUGUGUGUGUGUGUGUGUUGGGGUUGUAACCCAGAGCCUUGUAGAGUGCUACUGAAGCUGGAUAUAGGUCAUAUAUGCAGGGCUAAAGCAAGGCCAGCUCCAAGAACAAGGAGAGCUCAAGGAAAUCUAAGCAAAGAAGCUGAUAGGCAGAGGGUUGUCAUGUGACAUCAGCCUGCUGAGUGUAUAAAUAAAUGCACCGCAGUCUUUGGCAGUUCUUUUCUUCGUGACUCUUGUGUUCAUUUCUUCAUCCUGCACCAUCUGCCCCCUAGGGAAGUUUGAGAGCUGCACGGGACGUGGCAUUUUGGUGCCUGUAACAUGGCCCUGGGGAAUGUGGAAACUUGUUACAGCAGGUAAGAGGACACCUCCUAGUGCUCUUGCAAAUAAAGCAGCCUCACAAGAGCAAAAGAGGCUCAAGAGAAGCAUAGGGGACAAAAGGGGUAUUGAUAACAAUAUUGAUUUCAUCAGGUGUAAAAUAUGGGGCAAAAACAGGAUCUUGGGGCAGUGAUUGUAAAAGGAAAUGCUUGUGGGGCUGGGGAUUUAGCUCAGUGGCAUAAGCACCUGCCUUGCAAGCAGGCGGUCAUGAGUUCAAUCCCCGGUACCGAUAAAAAUGAAAAAGACAAAAAAAAAAAAAAAAAAAUUAAAAAAAAAAAAAAAAAAAGGAAAUGCUUGUAUUACUGACUUUGUGUGUGUGUGUGUGUGUGUGUGACCCUGGGUUAGGAAAUGUCUCAAUGAUUAUACGGUUGUUAAGAUGACCCCAGAGGAUUUAGCUCAGAGCACUGUUUUAAAACUAAAUCCCUAGCAAAAAUGGAUAGUAGAAAAACAGCCCCUUGAGACUGUGUGAACCCUCUAGCUUUGUUCAGUCAGAUAAAGAAGGAGCUGCGAAGGGCUAAAAAGACCCCUCUCUAUUAGAGGGAAGUCACUUCUGUGACUUCCACUUCACAGCUGCCCAAGGUAAAACCUAUAACCUUACCUGCACCACAGGUGGCUGCCUCUGCUUUCUCAGAUCAGAAGAAUUUUGCUGCAUCACAGGGCUGAGUCACCCAGGGCCCCCCUGCCCACUGAAGUAGAAUGCUACUGCUUGUCUCAGAGACCAAGAGGUGCUGCAGGACGCAGAGAGCUUCACUGAGGUGGUGCAGCCCAACCUGGGUCUACAUGGCGGGGCAACUCUGUGCCAUGGGUGGCUCACUGGGGCCUGUGCCUCUGAGUUGGUGUCUGUGUGCCACUGGGCAGGGAGGGGAGACUGCAAUGGGCAGACAACAGGACAGAAGCCCGGUUGGCCCCGCCUCCUGUGUGCUGUGGUGGGAGUCCGCUGCUGUCCCCCAAGCCUUUAAACCUGCAGCACUUGGUGGCUGGAGGCUCUUGGGCUAGCAGGCAGGUGAGCAGGCAGCAACAGGAGAGUGAGGCCCUCACCUGGCUUUGCCUCCACGGCCACCCUCAUCAGCCAUGACUCCCGUGACAUUCUGAAGUCUGCUGAUGGCCUUGUGGUAAUGGAGCCAAGGCCCCGGAAUCCUCCCUCAGUGGCCUGCAGCUGCCUGUGGGUGCUUAAGACGGACAAUGGCCAGCUUAUUUGAGUGCUACCUUCCAAAUGUUUUGUAAAACUUUUCACAUCUCCCUUACCACAAGGAAUUCCUUAUAACACUCAAGGUCAAGGAGUUGUUAAAUGUGCUCAUGUUGGCUCAAAAUUCAGUUACAAAAGCAAAAAGGAGGAUUCUUCCCCACAAAAUGCAUGCCUCGUAAUAGACUUCACUUAGCAGUGUGUACUGUUAACUUUUUAAAUCCUGCUAGGGAUGAGAAACUGAACAGAAAGACAAUUCAGUCAGGUAAAGGAAAAGAAGCUAGAAAGGGCCCUUUGGGAAGAUCCUUAUACUGGACCAUGAGGGGGACCCAGCCCAGUACUUGUUUGGGGUUGGGGCUAUGUCUGUGUCUGUGUCUUUCCAGAGAGUGCUAAAGGGCCUAUCUUGGCACCAGAGCAUGCUGUCCAGCUGUAUUCAUGGACCCAAACCUGGAGAAGGAAUUGGUUCCAUCUUUCAAGAAGCUGAUUCUCAGUCCUGUGGCACAGAUGCCUCAGAGUCUGCCCACAGAUGAUGGACAAGGACAGGGCCAGACCCAACCUGAAGCCCAAGAGCUGGUAACAAAAGAUGAGAAAGUCUGAGUAGGUCAAAGCGAGCGAGCAGCUGAGCAGCCCAGCUGUGAGUCUUACUCAGGUGCUCUGCUGAUCAUUUCAGGAUGGCAGCUGCAGAACCGCUCAUACUUCUUCUGUUAGACAAGGAAGUUUAUCCUGAACUCAAAGGUGUUUGGGUCGGGCAAGGGCACCCCGAGCCUGCAGGCCACAUGCGACAUCAGGACACACCGAGGAUGAUACGGAGACUGCAUCCUAUCCUUCUCCCCAGGCAGCACCAGCAAGUCAGAUCUGAAGUUGAGUUACUGAGGUCGGUGUCUGUCCAGCCAAACCCCGGUGGGCCACGAGGUGACCAGGAAUAACUUUUAGAAAACCCCUAAGAGACGCAUGAAGGGCAAAGGUGGGGAAACUGAGGCUCGGAGCCUCAGUCACACAGCCAAGCUGGGAAGACAGCAGCCCUGUAGCUUCUCGGGAGCGUUCAACAACACAGGGUAUUACUGUGCGUGUCCAUAUGAAGCAUCCUUUACUGCUAUGGAGAAAGGAUCAGGGGCACAAGCAAUGCACGGCCCGUCCUUGAUAUUCUGGGCUCUCCCCAGCUAACUGUAUCCUCAUGCUGUGCCACGAUACCCCUAAAGGACUUCCUCCUAGAAUGCUCUCUCCCAUGGAUGCCCAGCCUUGCCAUCCCAGAAUUCCCCUUUUUGGCUUCCUUUUCCUGUUUCAGUUGUCAUCGAGAGCAUCCUCCAUCUGCAGGUACACAUUUCAUCCUCGGGCGGGGAGCACACAGGUUUGAGGACAUGAGAGGUACAGGCCAAUGUAACUGUCCAGACCCUGGGAUGCAUUUGUGAGGCCGUUGCUGGGUUCUUAGUAACAGGAAUUGUCUUGUGUAUAGCUUAGGUCCCCAUUUGAGUUAAGGUAGAGUGGCACAGGAAUCUUCACUGCCUGUCUGAUCACACUGGAGGUUUUUGAAAACAAAAAACAGCAAAAACCGCCAACACUUCUGAAAGCACAGGGACGUGUUCUGUAUGGGGAGGGGUUGGAUAAGGUUGGCCAGAGCGGGAGAGUGACAGCAACACUGAAGCAUUUAGAAAGGAGCCAACCCAGGGUGCCUCAAACAGCCCCCGUGCUGCCCUUGCGGAUGCUGUCUUGCAGGAUCUGAGAGACAAAAGACGCUGAACUUCUUUGACUCCAUUGGUUGGACUCUGAUCCCUUGGGUUUAAUACUUCAGCUUCUUUCCAAAAAUUACAAAUGUGAUCUUCUGCCUGCAUUAUUAAAAUUCAGAGGAAGCCUAAAGGUGCAGCCCCAACAGGUGACCUCACCUUGCAAGUAACCUGCCGCCCAAUGCAGGAUGAGUCCCUUGCCCAAUGCGGGAGGCAGGCAGCAAAGUCCCCAGUGCAGUCUGGUGGGACUGUCCUACUGCAUGGCAGUGUCUCGAGUGGUGAGCCUUGGCACCCCAGCACCCUGGCACCCCAGCACCAUGGAGGUGCUGCAGACUGCAGGUGCCUGGUAGUGGAGUCCUUUCAGUAACCAUGAGAAGCCAAUAGUCUGUAUUUUUCUGUGAAUACUGAUUUUAGAGAGAUGGUAGUGAUACUGGCUUUUUCCGGAAUAUCCUGCAGGCCAUGAAAACCCCACCUGCAGCCAGUGCAUGCCAGUGCUGGUGUGUGGGGGGGUUGGAAAGGGGCACUUGCUGCCCUGCAGUGAGACUCGUGCACCCUCCAAGGUGUCAUUUGAGUGACAGCCAGAGGGAAGGUCGCCCAGAGCUCAUUGCUUACUUUGGGUCUCUGCCCUGCUCAGCCAGGUGAAGUGUGUUCCCCUUGAUGUCCUGGUCAGGCCAGGAAAGUCAUUGAGAAGCAUAUUUGGGAGAAGGCAGUAAUAAGACAGUCAAACUCUAAUCAUACCUGAGAUUUCAGUUUUUGAGAUGAGGUCUUACUAAGCUUCUCUGCUGAGUUGAAUGCCUGGGCUCAAGCAUCCUCUUGCCUCAGCCUUCAGAAGAGCUGGUACUGGUUGUGGAUUAGGGUUAGGGUUAGGGCCACUGCUCCCUACCUGACUCAGGUGGGAAGGCGGCCUUGGUGCAGCCACCCGCAGGUGAUGUCACCUGGCUUGUGAUAUGCAGCCCAGCCAGUUGGCAGCAGGCCAUUUGCCCAUUCUAGAAGCCACCGGCCAGCCUACCUGGAAUGUGGCAGGCUUAGGCACCUGUGUGACCUGCAGUGGUGCUGGGUCCCCCUGCAGGCCCACUCUGCCCCAGGUACAACCUUCCUGUCCUCAUUGAGGUGGGGCCAUUGGGACUGAACUAACAAAGCCCUAACCCAAGAAAUGAGGGUUUCCUGUAAUCAAAUACCUCAGAUGUGUGCGCAAAGCCAAGGGCCCCAGGGGGCUGUCAACCAUCCCAUCUGCCCACACUGGCUGCCCCUCUCCUCCUGAACCCCCCCGGACUUCCCGAGAGAGCAGGCCCUGUUUCCUCAGGCCUGGACUGUGCGAAGAUUUCUGGUGUCAUACAUCGAGGGAUGCUUAGUUUCCUGCUAAACCUUGCUUUCAACAUUUCCUGGGGACCUGGAACUAAAUACUCUGUGAGAAGUGUUGAAUAACAAGAGCCGUAUCUAAGUUCCAA